rnacentral:rRNA from 1 species
GACGAACGCUGGCGGCGUGCUUAACACAUGCAAGUCGAACGGAAAGGCCCUGCUUUUGUGGGGUGCUCGAGUGGCGAACGGGUGAGUAACACGUGAGUAACCUGCCCUUGACUUUGGGAUAACUUCAGGAAACUGGGGCUAAUACCGGAUAGGAGCUCCUGCUGCAUGGUGGGGGUUGGAAAGUUUCGGCGGUUGGGGAUGGACUCGCGGCUUAUCAGCUUGUUGGUGGGGUAGUGGCUUACCAAGGCUUUGACGGGUAGCCGGCCUGAGAGGGUGACCGGCCACCUUGGGACUGAGAGACGGCGCAGACUCCUACGGGAGGCAGCAGUGGGGAAUAUUGCACAAUGGGCGGAAGCCUGAUGCAGCAACGCCGCGUGCGGGAUGACGGCCUUCGGGUUGUAAACCGCUUUCGCCUGUGACGAAGCGUGAGUGACGGUAAUGGGUAAAGAAGCACCGGCUAACUACGUG